rnacentral:rRNA from 1 species
CCUACGGGGGGCAGCAGUGAGGAAUAUUGGUCAAUGGACGAGAGUCUGAACCAGCCAAGUAGCGUGAAGGAUGACUGCCCUAUGGGUUGUAAACUUCUUUUAUAUGGGAAUAAAAUGUUCCACGUGUGGGAUUUUGUAUGUACCAUAUGAAUAAGGAUCGGCUAACUCCGUGCCAGCAGCCGCGGUAAUACGGAGGAUCCGAGCGUUAUCCGGAUUUAUUGGGUUUAAAGGGAGCGUAGGUGGAUUGUUAAGUCAGUUGUGAAAGUUUGCGGCUCAACCGUAAAAUUGCAGUUGAAACUGGCAGUCUUGAGUACAGUAGAGGUGGGCGGAAUUCGUGGUGUAGCGGUGAAAUGCUUAGAUAUCACGAAGAACUCCGUUUGCGAAGGCAGUUCACUGGACUGCAACUGACACUGAGGCUCGAAAGUGUGGGUAUCAAACAGGAUUAGAUACCCUUGUAGUC